UGGUCCUUACUCAGCGCCGCAAAAGACUGCUGUUACUGAAAAAGAAAGUUCUUCUUAUUCAAAAAAGCCUGGAAGAAGAACGCUGGCGCAGAUGGUGGGUCCGACCCUCGUGGAGAACGCGACACGCCGAGAGCGAGUUUUUCACCACGAUGGAAAAAAUGCGGGAUGGCGACAUCGACUACUUCAAAAAAUACUACCGCAUGGUUCCCCAGCAGUUUGAUUUCCUGUUAAGUCUUGUUGGAAGGGACCUGCAAAGGCUUUAUUGCAUUAAGGAGCCCAUUUCAUCAGCGGAACGACUGGCCAUGACGCUCAUGUAUUUGUCUUCUGGAGACCUGAUUCAAG
rnacentral:lncRNA from 1 species